rnacentral:sRNA from 1 species
UUUUACAAAGGCCGUUUCUGCCCUCUCCCCCCCGUCCCCCACCCCCCUCCACAGACCUACUUACCCAGCCUCUGAGCCGCAGUGCCCUCCUCUGUAAAGUGGGUAUAUCAGAGCGCCAAGUGCCUGGAUUACAGGAAAGGGCUGCGUUUAGCUGCGCACCCAGCCACGGCUGGGACAAACACGCGCAGUGACACGCGGCGGCUGCGGUUCCCGCGCUGGCCGCGGUCGGGCUCUGGCGCUCCUGAGCCCGCGCUCGGCCCGCAGGACGUGAAGACCACGUACUUCUGCAACACAUGCGGGCAGCCCCUGUGCGCGCGCUGCCGCGACGAGACGCACCGAGCACGCAUGUUCGCACGCCACGACAUCGUGGCCCUGGGUCAGCGAAGCCGCGACGUGCCCCAGAAGUGCACGCUGCACGCAGAGCCCUACCUGUUGUUCUCCACCGACAAGAAGUUGCUGUUGUGCAUCCGCUGCUUCCGCGACAUGCAGGGGUGCGUAGAGGGGGCGCGAGGGGAGGGGGCUGGGGGCGGCUGGAGCGGGCCUCACCCGCCGCCUUCUACAGGGAGAGCCGGGCGCACUGCGUGGACCUGGAAUCGGCUUACGUGCAGGGCUGCGAGCGGCUGGAGCAGGCGGUGCUGGUGAGCGCAGGGGCCUGGCGCGCGGGGCCGCGCAGCGGCGAUCGCGAGCCUGACCACGCCCUGUCCCCAGGCCGUGAAGGCCCUACAGACGGCCACGCGGGAGGCCAUCGCGCUGCUGCAGGCCAUGGUGGAGGAGGUGCGGCACAGCGCCGCCGAGGAGGAGGACGCUAUCCACGCCCUCUUCGGCAGCAUGCAGGACAGGCUGGCGGAGAGGAAAGCGCUGCUGCUGCAGGCUGUGCAGAGCCAAUACGAAGAGAAGGACAAGGCCUUCAAGGAGCAGCUCUCUCUCUUGGCCACCUCGCUGCCCAUGCUGCAGGUACAGGGAGCUCGGGGUGCGGGUGGGUCCCACCUCCCCGGCCAGGCACUGAGCAGCGUCUCCUCCACCAGGUCCACCUGGUCAUCUGCUCCUCCUUCCUCAGCUUGGCCAACAAGGCUGAGUUCCUGGACCUGGGCUAUGUGAGUCUCCUCUGCUCCUGCAGAUGCCCCCUCCCCACCAGAAGCCCACCCUGCAGACCAGAGCCGCCAACUCAGGGGUGGACAGCCUGUCACCUGGAGCCUGGACCGGGGGGCUCGGGGCUGGCCCCUCCCAACUCCAUCAUCUGCAAACCUGUUAGGGCCACUCUUGCAAGGACAGUGAAGCCAGGAAGGGGGCUGCCUACGGUCCCCCAUGGGGCAGAGUGACCACUGGAGUCCAGCCGCCCCCUCUCCUGUGGAUUUGGGGAUGGGGUGGGGGUUUGUCCAGGUGAGUCCCAGAAAAGGGCUGGCGCUGCUAAGGGACGCCAAGUCAAGUGCCAAAGGCAGACGUGCUCCGUCUCCAUCUCCCCUCUUCCUGCCCCCUGGCUGCCACACCUCCACCGGCCUGAGGCCCUCCUCGCUGCCACAGGAGCUGAUGGAGAGGCUGCAGGGCAUCGUCA